rnacentral:lncRNA from 1 species
UAUAAAGUCAAUAAUAAUUAUUGAUAGAAUAAACACUUGUUAUUUAUUAAUCAUUCAUUUUCUUAACGAAAUAUUAUAUUAUGACCGCUUCUAAGUUGUUCCUAUUAUAAUGUAGAGAUUCACCUAAAAUACUUUUUGUAACAUAAUCCUUCAAUAUACACAUGUAGAGAUUCACCUAAACUACUUUUUGUAACAUAAUUCUUUAAUAUACACAAAAAUAUGAAUGUUGAGUAUUUCUUGAUAUGUUCAUAUGAAAUACACUGGAUCAAUUAGUGAACUAGAGAGUGGAGUAUGAAAGACCCAAAUACAACAACUUGGGUAAUCACAAGCACACCACAUGCCCCCAAAAGAUCAUGAUUUGUUGGUGUAAUUGGUAGUAGUAUUUAUGCUUAUAAAUUGAACUAAAGUCUACACACUCCUCGAUGUGGGACUGGGGUGUUACAAACUCCCCCAUUCAAAUUCUCCACACUCCUCAAUGUGGGACUGGGGUGUUACAAACUCCCCCAUUUAAAUUCCUGACGUCCUCGUCAUUGUGCGAUAAUUUAAAUUCCUGACCUCGUCAUUGUGGGAUAAUAUCGGCUGGCUUCGUGUCCCCACCUCCGGACUCUUGUCAUUGUGGGAUAAUAACACCGGCCUUCGUAUCCCCAUCUCCGGCAACUUGACUAAUCAAAUUUUUGAGAGAGCUGGCUCGGGUCAAGUCCUGAAUUCCGAAUCCGAAAAUAAGCCGAAAUAUACUAACCCAAAUACAACAACUUGGGUAGUCCACAAGCCCGAAUCCGUAAAUAAGCCUAAGACAUAUAGUUACCUCGUUACUCAAAUAAAUAGUUAUCCUUAGAGAAGGACCCA